ACGUAGGGUGCGAGCGUUAAUCGGAAUUACUGGGCGUAAAGCGUGCGCAGGCGGUUCUCCAAGUCGCGUGUGAAAGCCCCCGGCUCAACUGGGGAGGGUCACGCGAUACUGAUCGACUCGAAGGCAGGAGAGGGUAGUGGAAUUCCCGGUGUAGUGGUGAAAUGCGUAGAUAUCGGGAGGAACACCAGUGGCGAAGGCGACUACCUGGCCUGUUCUUGACGCUGAGGCGCGAAAGCUAGGGGAGCAAACGGGA
rnacentral:rRNA from 1 species